ensembl:lncRNA
AAGACAGUGAGCCUUUGUGCAUGCAGAAACACAUCUGUGUGUAAAUAUAAACAAAAAGGCAUGAGAAAAAGCUAAAGAAAAUUAUUAACAGCAGUUACCUCUGGGCAGGUUGGUGAAACCACAUAAAGUCCAUUUGUUUAACGAGCACAGAUGAUCAAAGUUCAUGACAAAAAAGUAGCCUCUCAAAAACCUAGAAUGUCAAAGCCUACCUUUGGCACAUGAUUGUGUACUUAAGUGACCACAGAGUUCUGUUUAGAAGGGAAGUUGAAAACCAGGCUUGGAUGGAAACUGGAAUGUGUAAACAGAAACACCUCUGAGAAGGAAAACUGGAUGCAAUGGAUAGAGAUGUCACGUAAAAAACAGAGAGAAUGCAGAAGUCUGAAGAAAGCCUUCACCAGAAAUUGACCCUACUGGACCUUGAUCUAGAAUUUCUAGUCUCCAGAAAUGUUAUAAAAUAAAUAUCUGUUAUUUCAGCCUCUCA